rnacentral:rRNA from 1 species
UACGUAGGGUGCAAGCGUUGUCCGGAAUUAUUGGGCGUAAAGGGCUCGUAGGCGGUUCGUCGCGUCGGCUGUGAAAACCUGAGGCUCAACCUCAGGCCUGCAGUCGAUACGGGCGGACUUGAGUACUGCAGGGGAGACUGGAAUUCCUGGUGUAGCGGUGAAAUGCGCAGAUAUCAGGAGGAACACCGGUGGCGAAGGCGGGUCUCUGGGCAGUAACUGACGCUGAGGAGCGAAAGCGUGAGGAGCGAACAGG